rnacentral:rRNA from 1 species
UACGUAGGGACCUAGCGUUGUCCGGAAUCAUUGGGCGUAAAGCGCGCGUAGGCGGCCCGGUAAGUCCGUUGUAAAAGUCGAAGGCUCAACCUUCGAAAGCCGAUGGAUACUGCCGGGCUAGAGUCCGGAAGAGGCGAGUGGAAUUCCUGGUGUAGCGGUGAAAUGCGCAGAUAUCAGGAGGAACACCAAUUGCGAAGGCAGCUCGCUGGGACGUCACUGACGCUGAGACGCGAAAGCGUGGGGAGCAAACAGG